rnacentral:rRNA from 1 species
UACAGAGGGUGCGAGCGUUGUUCGGAAUUAUUGGGCGUAAAGCGCAUGUAGGCGGCUUGUUAAGUCACGUGUGAAAGCCCCAGGCUCAACCUGGGAAGUGCGCGUGAAACUGGCGAGCUUGAAUCCUGGAGAGGGUGGCGGAAUUCCCGGUGUAGAGGUGAAAUUCGUAGAUAUCGGGAGGAACACCAGAGGCGAAGGCGGCCACCUGGACAGAGAUUGACGCUGAGACGCGAAAGCGUGGGGAGCAAACAGGAUUAGAUACCCUGGUAGUCCACGCUGUAAACGAUGAGUGCUAGCUGUGGCGGGUUUUGACCCCUGCCGUGGCGACGCUAACGCAAUAAGCACUCCGCCUGGGGAGUACGGCCGCAAGGCUAAA